rnacentral:rRNA from 1 species
AGAGCGAACGCUGGCGGCGUGCCUAACACAUGCAAGUCGAACGCGCUCCAUUCGGUAGCAAUACUGAUGAAGAGCGAGUGGCGAACGGGUGAGUAGCACGUGAGCAACCUGCCCCGAAGACCGGGACAACACCGGGAAACCGGUGCUAAUACCGGAUAUCCCUAUCGGACCGCAUGAUCUGAUAAGGAAAUGGAUUCCGCUUCGGGAGGGGCUCGCGGCCUAUCAGCUAGUUGGUGAGGUAACGGCCCACCAAGGCAUCGACGGGUAGCUGGUCUGAGAGGACGAUCAGCCACACUGGGACUGAGACACGGCCCAGACUCCUACGGGAGGCAGCAGUGGGGAAUCUUGCGCAAUGGGCGAAAGCCUGACGCAGCAACGCCGCGUGGAGGACGAAGGCUUUCUGAGUUGUAAACUCCUUUCAGCAGGGACGAUAGUGACGGUACCUGCAGAAGAGCACCGGCCAACUACGUGCCAGCAGCCGA